GCCCCCGUAGCUCAGUAGGAUAGAGCGGUCGCCUCCUAAGCGAUAGGUCGUGCGUUCGAAUCGCGCCGAGGGCA
rnacentral:tRNA from 1 species